UUUCGUGCUGCAUUUGAUGGAGUCUUUGGUUUAAAAUAUCCUGGUAUCUAUACCAUUCACAAAAGGGCUCGGCACAAUUUUGUAUAGGGCUGCCUCCAGAAUUGUGCAUGUGACCCUUGGCUGGCAUCAGGUGAAGGCUAGCUACUGAGUGUGCUAUCCACUGAGAAGAGGACUCCCCCAUUCCAAAAUGCUAGGCUUCAUGAACCCUCCUGACCCUUUGAAUUCACUUUCCUAAAUUCUCCUCCAACCUUACCUAGAGUUGCCUGAAAUCGUUGAUUUAGAGGGUUAAUUCUUAAGCAUCUUUUGUGUUAAAAUGAAAUGCCAUUGGUGAAUCGAAAGCCAUGCUCAGUGCAGAUUUGGGGUGUUUUUCAGAUUCCUUUAUGGAUAAUGGUGACUGAGCAGAAUGCUAAGGUCUCUCUGGGAAAGCCGUAAGGAAGAGAAGAGAUUUCCCCAAGUGGGAGCUCGAAAUGUGGACACCUUUGGGAUCCAGCAUUCUCUCCGGCCAGCCUAGAUCUUAAGCACUAAAUGCUCUCCAUACCUAUCAUGAAAUCUUACCCACUUAGCUGAUAAACGUUGCUGAUCAAAAGCUACA
rnacentral:lncRNA from 1 species